CUUUUUGAUUAUUAAACUUUUUUUAUUUUUUUUCUUUUGACGUUCGAACCUCUGCACAUCACUGGUUGCUUUAACAAAAUCCAAUCCCAAGGGCGG
rnacentral:ribozyme from 1 species